rnacentral:misc_RNA from 1 species
GAUGAAGAACGUAGCGAAAUGCGAAAAGUAAUGUGAAUUGCAGAAUUCAGUGAAUCAUCGAAUCUUUGAACGCACAUUGCGCCCGCCAGUAUUCUGGCGGGCAUGCCUGUUCGAGCGUCAUUUCAACCAUCAAGCCCCCGGCUUGUGUUGGGGACCUGCGGCUGCCGCAGGCCCUGAAAACCAGUGGCGGGCUCGCUAGUCACUCCGAGCGUAGUAAUACAUCUCGCUCAGGGCGUGCUGCGGGUUCCGGCCGUUAAAAAGCCUUAUUUACCCAAGGUUGACCUCGGAUCAGGUAGGAAGACCCGCUGAACUUAAGCAUAUCAAUAAGCGGAGGA